CGUCCCCCGCCUUAUCUCUAAACAUCCUGACCCUCCCCCAAAGCAACAGGCUGAGCGGAUCUGCCACAAUAAAAGGCACAACGCUCUGCACCACGCUGCUGCUCCCUCUCUCUUUGUCUCUCUCUGUCUCCCUGCUCUCCCUGCUCUCUCUGUCUCUCCCCAGCCCCACCCCCACCCCCGGGGCAGCCACUCUCUCUUUUAGAUAAUAAAGUCUCUUGCGUGGGCCCGUGUCUCCUGAGUUGUUCUGGGUAAGGAGGGUCGCGGCGAGAUACCCUUUCAUUGGUGCCGUGACUUCGGAUGAGGCUCUCCCAUUGACUUUGCUCUUCCUCCGGGAACCUGAGCUGCUCUGGGAACCCGCACUGCCCGAUCCUCCUCCACGGGCUCCCUGCCCACUUCCCCGGUCGCUCGUCUUCUCGCCCAACACCGGCCUUCGAUUUGGUUCCUACUCCACCACCGUGACGGGGCCUCUUACUCUCCGCAUUUCGGGCUGCUCAUCUCCGCUUCCACUCAUCACUGAAGAAGUUUCUGCCUGCACGGAGUCCUAAGACCUCCCUUGCAACCGCCAUGCGUCAUGCCUCAGGAAUAUUAACCAUGGUCUCAACACUUACUCUCUCACCAGACCCAUCUUCCCAACACCAGCCCUUCUCUUUCAGACUGUCCAACAGAUUGCACCAUCAAGGAUUCCCUUUGCCCUACAGGAUUACCAACCCCUCUCCAAAGACCAUGAUCCUUAUUGAACCUGGAAAAUGCCAUCGCCACUGCAGACCAAGGGCUCACCUGAGGACUGCCCCCCAUCAAUACAAACAUGACCUUCAUCGCCCCUAAUCAGCAGGAAGCAGUUACUGAAGACUGACCUUCACCCCUUCCCAAAUCCUCUACCGCUUACAAUACAGAAAGGGGAGGAAUGUAAGAAUAUAGUAAUUUGUCCUCCAUUUACCCCACGGUCCCAAGCACAUAAGCCGGUGAGAAUUAUGCCUGGGCUUGCCUGGGGCUUGACUGGGCUUACCGCACCUUAUCUCUAAACAUCCCGACCCUCCCCCAAAGCAGCAGACCAAGCGAAUCUGCCCCCCAAUAAAGGCACAACGCUCUGCACCAUGCUGCUGCCCUCUCUGCGCUCUCUCCCCCCCACCUCUGUCCUUUCUGCUCUCGCUGCCCUCUCUCUCUCUGUCUCUUUCUCUCUCUCCCUCCCCACCCCCUCUGGGGGUGGCCCUUUCUCUUUCAGAUAAUAAAGUCUCUUGCAUGGGCCCAUGUCUCCUGAGUCAUCCUGGGUAAGGAGGGUCGCGGGGAGACACCCUUUCAGUGUGUUUGGCCCUGCUGUCUGUCACAGACAAAACUACAUUACAAAGGAGUUGACCUCUCUCUUCUUUUCCCCUCACAUCUAUAAAAUGGGAAUCACUACACACAUUGUUCUUGUAAGUACUCACGUUUGAUUUUUUAAAGUAAAAACAGUAAGUGUUCUAUGUAAAUAGCAGGAGAUGAGACAAAUCGUCCUGAAGAGGAAUUCCAGAUGAUCCAUAGUCCCUCCUACUUCAGGCAGUGGAGCUUGAUUCCUUCCCCUUGUGUUAGGCAGGAAAGCAGAUGAGCGGGGUGGGGGGAGAAUAAGGCCAGUAAGACCCACUGGAAGGGGAUCAAAGAGUUAACCAGUUAAAAAUAGAAAGCUCAGAAGGCCAGGAGCAACCUGACCCAGAUUGCUGAAUACUCCUCAGAUAAAGAAACCUAUCUCAGCCUAGCCUGUGUCUUCACGGUGUCAGUCAGCACAGACCUUUGUAAGACUGACUUUGGCACCUGCUCAAAGGCCCAGCUUCUUCAGGAAGAAUUCUAUCUUAAAGCUAAGACUGCAUUCUAAUCAAACAGGCAGUGGUCAGCCCACCUUGGAGGCAGGGCAGACAGUCUUGAUGGAUACGCAUCCAGACAGAAGCUGAUAUUCUGGAAAGGAAUCAAAGCAGUAUACUUCUUGUGCUACGUUAAAUAAAAGAGGAAAGUUAAUGUCUUAUCAAAGAUGAACAUUCUGGGACCAUUUAGCAGGUCCACACCUGGCUCUUUGUGGUUUUCCUGAAAAUCUUCAACCGCCUGUAAAACCCCAGACCCUAAGCCUCUUGGUGAACUCCUGUCUGAGGUCACCCGCACUUUUUCUCUAAGUAACUUUAAAUAAAACUUUUAUUCUGCUUCA